rfam:Helicobacter suis HS5 contig00077, whole genome shotgun sequence.
GUAGUGGUUUUGGUGUGAUGGGCAUCUGGUAUUUGCCCCCUAAAGAGAUCCUCUUGGCCUCUUAUAGCUUCUUUGAACUACGCACACAAGUAACGGUCGUUUGGGU